rnacentral:rRNA from 1 species
GGACGAACGGCUGGCGGCGUGCCUAACACAUGCAAGUCGAGCGGGGACAUACGACGGAAGCGAAGUUUCGGAUGGAGCGGAAGAUGUAUGUCUAGCGGCGGACGGGUGAGUAACGCGUGAGCAACCUGUCCUUACAGGGGGAUAACACAGCGAAAGUUGUACUAAUACCGCAUGAGACCACGGGGAGACAUCUUCCAGGGGUCAAAGGAGCAAUCCGGGUAAGGGGUGGGCUCGCGUCCGAUUAGAUAGUUGGUGAGGUAACGGCCCACCAAGUCGACGAUCGGUAGCCGACCUGAGAGGCAGAACAGCCACAUUGGGACUGAGAUACGGCCCAGACUCCUACGGGAGGCAGCAGUCGGGAAUAUUGCACAAUGGAGGAAACUCUGAAUGCAGUGACGCCGCGUAUAGGAAGAAGGUUUUCGGAUUGUAAACUAUUGUAGACAGGGAAGAGUAAGGACAGUACCUGAAAAGUAAGCCCCGGCUAACUAUGUGCCAGCCGCUGC